GACGUAGUCCCGGGCCCAGCGGGCGGGUGGCGGAGACCUGAGACGGAGGGCGGGGCCGCGUAGCCCGAGUACCGGAGCCCGAGAAUGGCCUCCCCGCCCUGCCCUUGACCGCUGUCUUUGGGCUCCUCGCUUACACUCUCGAGUCUCACUUGGAGACCUCCAGCGACGUUGGCAAGGCGGGUUGGCAAGGCGGUGUGAAUGAGAUACGCGUGACAGACGGGGAACUGGUCCCACCCGAGCCCAGUUGGCCUGGGGACACCCGAGGGCCACCGGCGCGGGAUCCCAGUUGGGGCUGUGUCCUGGGCCCCGGGCCAGACCGGGCUCCCUUCCUGGGAGACCCAGUCAGUCCUCCUCUGGUGGGCAGCCCAUCAGUGCUGUCCCCUUUACAGCUGAGGAAACUGAGGCACGGUGGUUCCAGGCAGCCCAAUCCUAGUCUCUGCCAUCGGCUCCACUAGCUGGAGAGACGUCUGGAUGGGAGACGAGGUGGGAGGAGGUCAGAAGGAAACACCCUGUCGUGAGCUCAGCUACAGCAAGGACGGCCCCGGGGCAGGAGGAGCGGAGUGAGCAGAGCUCAAAAGGACAAGUCCCGCGCGGUACAGAAGGCCCCGGAGCCAUCAGCCAGACAGUGGGAGGGUGGGUCCCGGGGGCUUAGUUUACUGGGGACGGAGCAUAUUCUGUUACCAUUUGGCUCUGGGACCCAAAGGCCCGUGUUGAAGACUUUAUCCCCAGCACACGGCGCUCAGAGGGCCCCUUAGGGAAGUGACUGAUCACCAUGGCGCUGUCAUCACGGCAUGGUGGUCCCCAUCUGUAAUCCCAGCACUCCAGAGGCUGAGGCAGGAGGAUGGCCUGUUUGCCAUCCCUUCCUUGGAG